UCCUCCUUUCUGAAGAACUGUAAUGCCAUUAAUUUGGUGUUGCAGGGAAACAGGACUGUUACUUUGAAAAAAUUAGAGUGUUUAAAGCAGGCUAACGCUUGAAUACAUUAGCAUGGAAUAAUGAAAUAGGACGUUUGAUCCUAUUUUGUUGGUUUCUAGGAUUGACGUAAUGAUUAAUAGGGAUAGUUGGGGGCAUUAGUAUUCAAUUGUCAGAGGUGAAAUUCUUGGAUUUAUUGAAGACUAACUACUGCGAAAGCAUUUGCCAAGGAUGUUUUCAUUAAUCAAGAACGAAAGUUAGGGGAUCGAAGACGAUCAGAUACCGUCGUAGUCUUAACCAUAAACUAUGCCGACAAGGGAUCGGAUGAUGUUAAUUCUUUAAUGACCCAUUCGCGC
rnacentral:rRNA from 1 species